GGGGCCAGAAUCCUCAGGCUUUGCAGAACCUCCAUAACAGCCAUAGACAACUGUCUCUGCGAUCGGUAGACAUGGAACUUGACACCCAAGGAAGUUUGUCUACUCACCAUGGCUUACAGACAAUUUGAAGGUGCUAAAACCACACUGAAUGCAGACCUCUCCCAGCCUGCUUUCUCUGCUUAGGCUGUGGGCAAAUGGCGUAGAUCCUUGAGUCGUGAGCAGGAACCUGCAGUGUCUAUACAUCUUUGGCCUUUGCUCGGAGGACAGUCCUGACCGAAGUUAUCUGAGGAUCUCAACUCAAGGUGAGCAGCUGGACAGCCCUUCCCAGAUGGCAGGACUCCAGGCCUCCCACCUCUUGGUACGUGAGACAGCACAGAAUGCUGGGGGCCCUGCCCUCUUUCACCUCACCCAGGCUAUCAAUCGCUACUUCACUAGGUCUCUCUGUGAAUGGUUCUUGAACCUGGAAUCCAAGCCUCCUUCCCAUGUUCCUGUCCUUCUUCUGGGGGGACCUAGCCUCCUGAUGGUGUCUUCUCUUAGGAGACCAGAGACCUUACUAGAGAAGUCUGAGUCUGUUGCUGGCCCCUCUGCAGGCAUCUUGGACACAUCUCCACAGUUCAUACUCCUGGCCUGACUACCGUUUUCACAUCAUAGUCUUGCCUCACGCUGAGCAGAGCACUAUCCUGGUUCCUACUCCUUAUGCAGAUUCCUUGGCACUGUGGUUGGAAUUGCUUAGUCCUGGGAACCUGGCUGGAAGGACAAGGAAAUGAAGAAAGGACAGACACAUGUACAGAAAAGCUGGGGUCAGGAGAACCAUGCUUGCUCUGAUGUGUUGCACCAGCUACACAGUACCCUGGACCAUCGGUGUGUUUAUUAUGCAUAGCAGGAAGAGCAGUUAGCUAGUCUCGGCAGGAGGACUUAGUAGGGGAGCUGUCUCAGCUUGUAGUUAUCUGAGAGGAGGAAGCUUGAUCAUAAAUACUCAUACUGG
ensembl:lincRNA 4931403M11Rik RIKEN cDNA 4931403M11 gene